GUGAGUAAUACAUUGGGCUUAAUUUCAAACUCCACACAGCCAAGAUCACUGGAUACUUGAGCUUCCCCAAGCUGAGUUGAUACAGCUGCUCUGCCCCUGGUCACUGGUUAAAGAGGGAGAAGUGGAGGAGACACAUACAGUGGUUUCUAGUACCUGUGGGAUCGUUAGACAGCAUGUGUUUAACCAAACAGCCCAUUCCUGGCAGCCGCUGAAGUCUCUCAACUUUUAUUCUGAAAGAGGCCGAGAAAUGGAUGUACAUGAACAUCAGGCUUGCCAAAGUCGCUGAAUUUAUGCAAAGCAG